UGUCGUGGCUCAGUUUGGGAGAGCAUUAGACUAUAGAUCGAAAAGUCCCUGGUUCGAUCCCGGGUUCUGGCAA
rnacentral:tRNA from 1 species